UAGAGAAUCUUCGGCAAUGGGGGCAACCCUGACCGAGCAACGCCGCGUGAGUGAAGAAGGUUUUCGGAUCGUAAAGCUCUGUUGUAAGAGAAGAACGAGUGUGAGAGUGGAAAGUUCACACUGUGACGGUAACUUACCAGAAAGGGACGGCUAACUACGUGCCAGCAGCCGCGGUAAUACGUAGGUCCCGAGCGUUAUCCGGAUUUAUUGGGCGUAAAGCGAGCGCAGGCGGUUAGAUAAGUCUGAAGUUAAAGGCUGUGGCUUAACCAUAGUACGCUUUGGAAACUGUUUAACUUGAGUGCAGAAGGGGAGAGUGGAAUUCCAUGUGUAGCGGUGAAAUGCGUAGAUAUAUGGAGGAACACCGGUGGCGAAAGCGGCUCUCUGGUCUGUAACUGACGCUGAGGCUCGAAAGCGUGGGGAGCAAACAGGAUUAGAUACCCUGGUAGUCCACGCCGUAAACGAUGAGUGCUAGGUGUUGGGUCCUUUCCGGGACUCAGUGCCGCAGCUAACGCAUUAAGCACUCCGCCUGGGGAGUACGACCGCAAGGUUG
rnacentral:rRNA from 1 species